rnacentral:sRNA from 1 species
UAACCUCUGCAUCUACAUUAAUCUUCCUGUACGUCGUCAUUGUUCCACUUCUUCUCUACGGACUUUUAUGGAAUCGCCGUAGUGAGCUUCUUCAUCCAUACGUUGAUCUUGUCUGUCUCUAUGGAUACUCGUUGGCUAUUUUUAUUCCUGUUUCAGUGGGUUUUUUUGGACCAAAAAACUGUAAAAAUUCAAUUUUUACAGCGAAAAUUCAAAUUUUUCUGCAAAAAUUUGGAUGAAAAAUGAAUUUUCGUCGACAAUUUUUACAUAAUUUUCACUUAAAAAUUUGAGUUUUAGCUUAAAAGUCUAAUUUUUCACUUAAAAAUCGAUUUUUAACUUAAAAAUUGAAUUUAUAACUUGAAAAUUCAAUUUUUAACUCAGAAAUUCAAUUUUUCGCUUAAAAAUUCAAUUUUUCACUUUUAAAAUCAAUUUUUUAAGAGAAAAUUCAAUUUUUCACUUAAAAAGUCAAUUUUUCGCUUAAAAAUUCAAUUUUUAACUCAGAAAUUCAAUUUUUCACUUAAAAAUUCAAUUUUUAACUCAGAAAUUCAAUUUUUCACUCGAAAAUCUUACUUUUCUCUUCAGGUUCUCUGGAUUGUUGACAUUGGAUGGUUCCGUUGGGCUCUGAUCUUCGCGUCGGUUGGACUUUCGGGAACUGUGCUCGCCAGAGCAAUUUGGCCAGCCGUACAGAAUGAUAACAACAAAAUGG